CCUGUUCCCAUUCCGAACACAGAAGUUAAGCUCACUCGUGCCCAAGAUAGUUCGCUGGAAACGGCGCGUGAAAAUAGGUAGUCGCCGACU
rfam:Faecalibacterium sp. CAG:82-related_59_9 Ley3_66761_scaffold_5571, whole genome shotgun sequence.